rnacentral:rRNA from 1 species
GAUGAACGCUGGCGGCGUGCCUAAUACAUGCAAGUCGAGCGAACAGAUAAGGAGCUUGCUCCUUUGACGUUAGCGGCGGACGGGUGAGUAACACGUGGGUAACCUACCUAUAAGACUGGGAUAACUUCGGGAAACCGGAGCUAAUACCGGAUAAUAUUUCGAACCGCAUGGUUCGAUAGUGAAAGAUGGUUUUGCUAUCACUUAUAGAUGGACCCGCGCCGUAUUAGCUAGUUGGUAAGGUAACGGCUUACCAAGGCGACGAUACGUAGCCGACCUGAGAGGGUGAUCGGCCACACUGGAACUGAGACACGGUCCAGACUCCUACGGGAGGCAGCAGUAGGGAAUCUUCCGCAAUGGGCGAAAGCCUGACGGAGCAACGCCGCGUGAGUGAUGAAGGUCUUCGGAUCGUAAAGCUCUGUUAUUAGGGAAGAACAUACGUGUAAGUAACUGUGCACGUCUUGACGGUACCUAAUCAGAAAGCCACGGCUAACUACGUG